AUACGUAGGGAGCGAGCGUUGUCCGGAAUUACUGGGUGUAAAGGGAGCGUAGGCGGGACUGCAAGUCAGAUGUGAAAUGCCGGGGCUCAACCCCGGAGCUGCAUUUGAAACUGUGGUUCUUGAGUGAGGUAGAGGUAAGCGGAAUUCCUAGUGUAGCGGUGAAAUGCGUAGAUAUUAGGAGGAACAUCGGUGGCGAAGGCGGCUUACUGGGCCUUUACUGACGCUGAGGCACGAAAGCGUGGGGAGCAAACAGGAUUAGAUACCCUGGUAGUCCACGCUGUAAACGAUGAUGACUAGGUGUGGGGGGACUGAACCCUUCCGUGCCGCAGUUAACACAAUAAGUCAUCCACCUGGGGAGUACGGCCGCAAGGUUGAAACUCAAAUGAAUUGGCGGGG
rnacentral:rRNA from 1 species